rnacentral:rRNA from 1 species
CCUACGGGUGGCAGCAGUGGGGAAUAUUGGACAAUGGGGGCAACCCUGAUCCAGCCAUGCCGCGUGUGUGAAGAAGGCCCUCGGGUUGUAAAGCACUUUCAGUGAGGAAGAACGCCUGGUGGUUAAUACCCAUCAGGAAAGACAUCACUCACAGAAGAAGCACCGGCUAACUCCGUGCCAGCAGCCGCGGUAAUACUGAGGGUGCGAGCGUUAAUCGGAAUUACUGGGCGUAAAGCGCGCGUAGGUGGCUUGAUAAGCCGGUUGUGAAAGCCCCGGGCUCAACCUGGGAACGGCAUCCGGAACUGUCAAGCUAGAGUGCAGGAGAGGAAGGUAGAAUUCCCGGUGUAGCGGUGAAAUGCGUAGAGAUCGGGAGGAAUACCAGUGGCGAAGGCGGCCUUCUGGACUGACACUGACACUGAGGUGCGAAAGCGUGGGUAGCAAACAGGAUUAGAUACCCCAGUAGUC